UAUAAAGCCAUUAAGGAAUGGAUAAUUUCCAUAUUGUAAACAUUAUCUACCUACCUACUUACACAUACACAUACAAUUUCUGGAUUGUAGAAAACGAUUAAAAGGCUCUAACCUAUUGUAUGAGUUUUUAAUAAUAUUACUAAAAUAUGUCAUGUAAUAUUACAUAAUAUUACAAAGAAAGAGAUAUGUCAAUAUCCCUCAUGAACAUAAAUGCAGAAAGUCUGAGUUGGAGAUGUUGACUGGGAGAAAUCAACACGAGAAUGGUAACAGAACCCAUCCCUCUACAAAAUUAAGGAUUGAAUUAAAGGAAUGUUACAUCAUCACCAAGUAUGGUUUAUGAUGGCUCAGGAUAUCUCAUUAACUCAUUAAAAAAUAAACACAAUGUGAUUAUUUAAAUCAAUUCAGGAAAAUAAUGAUUUACAAAAUUAACACCUAUUCCUUAUUUUUAAAAUGUCUUAGCUAUGAAUAGAAGGGAAAUUCUCAGCUUGAUAAAUGUAUACAUUAGAAGUCACUAACAUGCAUCCUACUAUUGGUGAUAUCAGAGGAUUUCCAAUAAAAUUAGGAACAAGGUCAAGAUGUCCAGUAACACUGUGGCUAUUCACAGUGGAAGGAGGGGUGGAAAGUCAGGAGCAGGUGUGGGAGGUAAGAAGGUAAACUAGACAGAACCUAUUGGAUGUAGAGCUAAGCGGGGAACUAAGUAACUCCAGGAGGAGGCCAAGCUUCCUGGCCUUGGCACUGGCAAGGGUGGGGGCAGAAGUUGUUACUGAGAUCAGGAGCACAGUAAGAACAUGUGUAAGGGGUCUAAGAAGGUCAAUAUUGGACAUGCUGACAUGUUGACUUUGAGAGCCCCAUUGAGAUGGCAUCCUGGAGCUUGAGAGAAGUCUGAGUUGGAGCUGUAAAAUCAGGAGGUCAGCACAAAGAUGAUAAAGACAGCCAUAGGAGGUGCUGAGAUGGCCCAGAGAAGCAGAGGAACAAGGUACUGCACUCCACGCUCCAGCUAGAGUGAACAGUGAGUCUGUUCCAAGCCUAUUGGCUCCUCUCUCAUCUCAGUGCAUUUACUUCUUCCAUUGGAACUCCCCACAAUCCUCUGCCCCCCAUCCCACUCUCUCGGCCAACUCUUACUCAUCCUUCAUGACUCGGCUUAGUUAUCAACACCGCCUUCUCACAUCAACCCCUGUAAGGCUAGAUCCCACUCUCUGUGCUCUCAGAGGGUCAGCAGUCCGACACAAAAAGUCAGGGUUCUGCUAUAAUGCUAAUAUAACAGAAAACUGACAAUCUCAGUGUCUCACAACAACAAAUAUUUUAUUUUUUUGCCCAUCAUGGGGCACGAGCUGGGGCAGCUCUGCUGCAGGCUGCAGCUGAUGAGGUCUGUUCCUCAUGUCUCUCAUUCUAGGAUGUGCUUCCAUUCUAGGACAUGCUCUUAUUUUUGCAGGUGGUGGAAGUGCAAGAGGCCAAGCCUAGCUGUAAGCACAUAGAAAGCCUCUGCUUUGUCACAUCUGCUCACAUUCUGUUGAUCAAAGCAAGGAACCUGGCCAAGCUCAAAGUCAGAGGGGCAGGAAAGCAGACUCCGUAGUACAGAUUCACAAGGCAGAGGUCAUGGGCAUGCAAUUUCAUCAUAGGAAGGAAGUGAAGAAUUGGGGACAACAAUCCAACCCACUCCACUGCUGAGUACCACCUCUGAGUGUCAGGCUUUAUGGCCUUGGCCUAGUUGCUUGUCUUCCCACUAGGUUCUCAGUGCCUUCAGGACAGGACCCUGGCCAACUUACUUAUUACGGUAUCUCCAGUUAUGACCACAGUGCCUGCUCUAGUGAGUCAUGGUGAUCCAUAUACAUCUACUGAAUGAAAAAUUGGAUGUGAGGGGUCUCAGAGCCAAGAUGGAAGAGUGUUUCAGAAAAAACAGGGAGUGAUCAACACCCGAAGGACCUCAAGACUGGAGAGUACUGUUCAGAUUGAAUAACUUUAUGUUCAUUGUUAACCCUGGAAAAUACAGCUUCAGGGAAGUGCCAGGGCUGGGGAGUCAGAAGUCAGACUGCAGUGGGAUGGGCAGUGAAUGAGUGGUGAGGAAGUACAGGUGGUGAGUGAAGACCACUUUUCCAACUCUUAGGGAAUAGGUUAUAAGUAAUGUAUGGUAAAGGAGGGAUUUUAAAGAUAAGAGAGGUUCAAACGAGUUUACAGGCUCAAGGGAACAGGCAAGUAAAGAGGGUACAUUAGUCUGUUUUGUGUUGCUAUGAAGGAAUACCUGAGACUGGGUAAUUUAUAAAGAGGUUUAUGUGCCUCACAGCUCUGUAGCCUGUGCAAGCAUAAAACCAUCAUCUGCUCAGCUUCUGGUGAUACUUCGGGAAGCUUUUACUCAUGGCGGAAGGCUCCGGGGAGUAGGCGUGUCACAUGGCGAGAGAGGGAGCAAGAGAGAGGCCAGGCUCUUUUAAACAAACAACUUUCACACGAACUAAUAGAGCAAGAACUCACUCAUUACUACCAGGGUAGCACCAAAUCAUUCAUAAGGGAUCCACCCCUAUGACCCCAACACCUCCUGCCAGGCCCCACCUCCAACAUUGGAAGUCAUAUUUCAACAUGAAAUUUGGAGAGGACAAACAUUCAAACUGUAUCAGAGGGAGACAUUGAAUAUACCUGCGAGAGAGAGGAUAACUGAGAGGGAGGUACGUUAGGUAGUGCAGCAGGGAUGAAAUGCAGCAUAGGCAGGUGUGUGUGCGUGUGUGUGUUUGUGAACAUUUGUCAUGUUUGGGCUGUUAAGCAUCCACCCAGCCCUCCUCGUUAGAGGAAAUCCCCACUGAGUGUGGUCUUGCGAGGAGGCAGUGCCUGGCUACUAGCUGUGGGAGCUGAGGGGCUGUGCUUUCCUCUUCUGUCCCCUGGUAGCAACAUACCAGCUUGUGACUUGAGCUCAGUCAGUCAAACACUCUCAACAGACUUUGAACACACCAAUGGAUAGUCAGUCAGGGCUCUUUCACGGUAGUGGUGGGUGCGCCCCACAGAAAACUCCUAUGCUCCCUCUUUUUGGUCUUCAGAGGUCACUGUGUUGCCCUAGUUUCACACUUCCUCUUGGUUCUAUGAGUCUUCAGUCCCCUUCCAGUGUGUUUUGUUUCUCUGUUUUGUUGUUGUUGUUGCUGCUAUUUGGUGUUUUUGCUUAUUGCUUGUUUUUUGUUAUUCUAUGGAUGACAGAGUCUAGCUGAUGGAGGAUGGGGUCAACAAGCCAGGACAGGAUGAUGCCAGGCUCUCACUCCUGGCAUCCCAGUCAAUCUGUGCCAUGUGGAGAUGAACAGAUUAACUGUACCCACAGAAAAGCUGCCAUGUUUUCUGAAUGUUGGUCAUUGCUAUAGCACCUUCCCAAUGUUUUUCAUGUCCACACAACAGCACCUUACAUGGAGCUGCAUUAUGUGCUACUGCCUAAUAUUUUAUUCCAGUUGACUAGAUUUUUAUUUAAAGACAUUGAUUUAAAAAUCACCAUUUCAAAUGAAAACCCAGAAUAAUUUGCUUUAGUUAAAAAAUAUAUACAUAUAUAGAAAACAAAAUAAUGUUAAGUUCUGGACGAAUACUAUUACAUGAUGAGGGUUCUCAUCCAAAGCUCUUUGUUAAAAGGGGAGAUUAGCAAAUGUUGUGGUUGUUAAAGACAUGUUACUCCCAAGCUGAGACUUCCUUCUUGAUUUAAUCGGACACACUGAAGCAGAAGCAGAAGCAGAAGGGAGUGACUUUCUCACUUUGUGAUUUAAUGUUAUUUAAGACUGAGUCAGCUCACCCUUAAAUCAUCUCAAAUGUCAAUGGGGUGCAUUUCCUGCCAUCUCUAGGCAGGGUGCAGCGAUAUGGGGCAGAGCAUGGAAAUUGCCAAAGGGAGGCACCAAAACAUUUAUGCUAUUGGAGUUUCAGGGAAGGUUUUACGGAAGUGGGACUUGAAUUCUGAAAUACACACAGGAGAGCAGAGGCCAUUUCAGUCAUGGGAAACAUAAAAAUAAGGAGGUGAAAGUAAACAGCGGGGAUAUAGGAUGGUAUAGACCAGCUAGGCUAGAGGGCAGAGGUUGGACACAAGCUCAGAAAGGGUCCUAUCCCUUCCCCCCGACCAUGGGUCUUCCCCAACUUUACCCUUUGUGGGCAGUGCCUUUGCUUUGCCAUCACCUGUUAUAUCUUGUGUCUUUAGCCUGUCCUUGCCCCUGGGAUGGGAGCCAUGCAUGGCCAGUUGUGAAUUAUUGUGCAGUAGCCAUUGUUUCCUAUUGACUUGCUAUGAGACGGGGUGGGUCUGGGUGUCCUGCUGGGUACUCCACUGGCUUCUAUGCCAGUGCUUAGCCGACUCCACCAAUUGGGUUGGCACAGCAGGUACCAAACUCUUGUGAAUCAGAUGCCAUGCUUUUUGCCAUUGCCAUGUUAGACAUAUACUACUCCUUAAUAACUACUCAAUAAUGAAAGCAACUCAUUGUUUAAAGGUGUAAAUAAAUCGACUUUAAAAAGACAUUUCAUAUUACUAUCAUAAAUGCAAAUCCAGCAUCAGUUGCUGUAAACAUGAGACAAUAAUUUAAAAUAAAUGCAUAACUAUCAAAAUAAUGCUUUUCAAGUACCAUAUAAAAUACCUGCUGAUAUUUUACCUCACUGCAAGAAAAUACUAGGCUAGAGAAAUGAAGCAGGUCCAUUUUUGGUAGAAAGGGGAAAAUCUUAGAGCCUCAGAGCUGGAUGGAGCCCCAGUAAAUGUCUAGGUCAUGGAUUGCAAGCUGUUUUCCCCCACCAAUAAUGGUCAUCCUUCCUCUUUCUUUCUCUCUGUCUCUUUUUUUUUUUUCCCUGGGAACGAUGCAUAAAGUAGCAAAACGUAGGGCUGAACCCUUUAAUGGGCUAUCUGUUUCUCUGGAGAAACCCAAAGAAACCCAUUCUGCAAACCUCAACCUUCAUCCCUUCCUCCCUCUUGUGCCAUGCUUGCCCCCAUACACAGAGAAGUAGCAUCAGUGCCCUCCACCACCCACAUCAGCAGCUAGGGGGAGACAGAAGCAAGUCAAUGGCCAAGGAGUGGAGGGUGGGCUGGGAGAGUUCACUUAGCUUUGUGACACCAGUGCACCCCCACAUUGGAUAGCACCCAAGGCCCUCAUCAAACAUUGAGUGCCAUGCUUGUUGAAGCCUGCAAAUAAUACCCCACGAGCCGCCAACUUCCUUUCCGAGGCACAUCUGCCUGGACCUCUGUUCUGUUUGGUGCCAAGGCACUAGGGAGGCUUUAAGGAGCAGGCCGUUGCCUUUCUCUACAUGUGCUUCAGGCCUGUCUUACCCUCCCCAUGGUCUCCGUCAUACUCCUUUCCUGAAUAUCAUUUCUUUCCCUUUCUCCUGCACACAAAAGCUCAACACGGAGUUCAUUCUGUGAGCCUAACCUUUUGCUUCCCGCACUUGGGCUGGCUCAAACGCCACUUGCAAAAAUGGUAAUCUCAGCAGGGCUGAGCUCAGUUCCUGCUGCCCCUUUCCAAGUUUUUGUUUCGUUGCAGAGCUCUAAACCAGUGUCUCCCUCUGUGCUUGGGAGUAAGAGCAGCAUCAGACCAUUGCAAACCUACUGGAUUGGCUGAUACUCAUUGACUGGAUGGAGAUUUCAGAGGCAAACCUAGGCUUCUCCAGAGGAAAGUUCUCAGAAGGCAGUCACAUCUGGACAGCAUUCCUUGACUACGCAUCAAUAUUCCAUCAUGUCAUUGCCGGCUGUGAGGAGGAAAGUGACCUCCUAAACAAAUCCGUGCACGUGUAAAUGACAGCUGCUGGUUUGAAUCUGUUUCUUCUCCCACCACUUCCUCUUCUGAUCAAAGAGCCCACCUUUUCAUUUGGAGGAACCAUUUCUCAACUGGUCUCAUUCUGUGAGGUUUAGAGGUAGGAAUUGAACUUAGCUCUGUCUAGAGCCAAAUCUACUCCAAAAGUGUUCUUAACCACUACUGUGGGGUGGCUGACAGUACAGGCUCUGGAGUGACAUCUGCCACAGUUCAAAUCUCAGCCAUACCUCAUACUAGCUAGGAGGCUGGGGUAAAUGCCGCUCACCUUUCUAGCCUUAAUUCCUUUAUCUCUCUCAUGAGCUUAUUGUGAGAAUUUAAAAGAUAUAAUAACCAGAAAGCACUUAGUAUAGUUCUUGGCUCAUUAAAGUGCUCAACAAAUAAUAACUAUUAAUGUUUAAAUUAUUAAGACUCUAGUUGGCUGAAGAAAAGUGAUAGGAAAGCUAGAGGCUCUGGUCUUUACUCUGGGAGCUUCUAGAGAACUCAGACUUUGGUUAUUUCUCUCCUGUCCCUGAGUCCUACCCACAUUGUAAGAGUGAGUGAGUGAGUGAUGAUGGUGUGUUUGUAGAAUUCACAAACCCAUUGAAUAUUCUUCCUGAAGCUUAGCUAAGUGAGCUCCCUGCCAGGAACUUAUGUGUGGACAGCCACGAAUCGUGGCAUCAAAUAAUAUUUAAUUUCACUUCUUCCUAAAUAUUACUGAAUUCCAUUCCCAGUAACUUUCCCUUUUGAAGUUCUCUUUUUGAGGCAGUUCAAGUGGAAAAAGAAAUAACCUAGAAGCAAGUAAAACAACCUUAUUCAAAAACAACAAAAAUCCUUCAGUCUGAAGAUAAUAUCAGCAUCUACUUUUUAAGGCUUCAGUACAGAUUAAAUAAAUAUCACAGCACUUACCGUGUGCUGGGCACUGCACUGUACUGCCCAGCACAUGGUUAGUACUUCAUAUAUCAGCUCAUCAUCAUCACUGUCAUCAUCAUCGUCGUCAUCAUCGUUGUCGUCAUCAUCAAUGUCAUCACCACCAUUGUCAUCAUCAUCAUUGUUGUUGUCAUAAUCAUCAAGGUCAUCAUCAUCAUCAAGGUCAUCAUCAUCAUAUUGCAACUUUUUUGAGGGCAUGGACAACAUCUUCUCCUUCUUUGCCUCAAAACAUCUACCUCGUUUAAAAUAAUCCAUUAUAUGAAAAAGAUACUUGCACAUGCAUGUCUAUAGCAGCAAAAUUUGCAAUUGCAAAAACGUGGAACCAACCCAAAUGCCCAUCAAUCAAUGAGAAAGAAACUGUGAUAUAUAUAUAUAUAUAUGAAUGAAUGAUGGAAUACUACUCAGCCAUAAAAAGAAAUGAAUUAAUGGCAUUCACAGUGACCUGAAUGAGACUGGAGACUAUUAUUCUAAGUGAAGUAACUCAGGAAUGGAAAACCAAACAUCAUAUGUUCUCACUAAUAAGUGGGAGAUAAGCCAUGAGGAUGCAAAGGCAUAAGAGUGACACAAUGGACUUUGGGCACUCAGGGAGAAAGGGUGGGAAGGGGAUGAGGGAUAAAAGACUACAAAUAAGGUGCAGUAUAUACUGCUCGGGGGAUAGGUGCACCAAAAUCUCACAAAUCCCCACUAAACAACUUACUCAUGUAACCAAACACCACCUGUUCCCCAAUAACCUAUGGAAAUAAAAAAAUUUAAAAAAACAAAAAACAGAAACAAAAAUCCAUCUACUUCCUUGAUCUCUUGCAUAGAACAGGCACCCGUUUAAUUGGAAAUGAGCAAACUUGUUGCUGAUGUUCCUCAGAUGAUUUGGUUUGACUCCAAGAGACUAUUCACAUCCACCAUCCAUUCAUCCAUCUAUCCACCAUUCAUCUUAUCCAUUUCUUCAUUCACCCACCAUUCAUCCCUCUGUUCACCAUCCAGCCAGCCAUCUAUCACCCAUUCAUCUAUCCCUCUACCAUCCAUUCCUUCCUUCAUUCACCCAGUAAAAGUUCAAUUGUGGGAAAACCUAUAGUUUUUAAAUCCUUUUAUUUUAUGACUGAUAUUAAUUGCUAUAUCCAAAAUGUCAAGAGAGAAUCAGCACAGAAAGUGAAUGUUAGAAAUGGAAUCAGAUGCAGAUGACUGGUCUUGGUAUCUGCCAUUUCCUCCCACCCAGAUGCCCUUUUGUUCUUAGAAGCCAAAGACAGUCAUCUUAGAAACUUUCGGGCAACAAAAUUCGUGCAGCCUUUGGAACUAAGAAUUACUAGUCUCUACUUUCUAAUGGUUUAGUAGUCAAUGGAUAUAUAUAAUUUAAGCCAUUUAAUUUGCUUUCAC
rnacentral:lncRNA from 1 species